UACGGGGGGGGCAAGCGUUGUUCGGAAUUACUGGGCGUAAAGGGCUCGUAGGUGGCCAACUAAGUCAGACGUGAAAUCCCCAGGCUCAACCUGGGAACUGCAUCCGAUACUGGAUGGCUUGAAUUUGGGAGAGGGAUGCAGAAUUCCAGGUGUAGCGGUGAAAUGCGUAGAUAUCUGGAGGAAUACCGGUGGCGAAGGCGGCAUCCUGGACCAACAUUGACGCUGAGGAGCGAAAGCUAGGGGAGCAAACGGG
rnacentral:rRNA from 1 species